rnacentral:rRNA from 1 species
AGUGAACGCUGGCGGUAGGCCUAACACAUGCAAGUCGAACGGCAGCACAGUAAGAGCUUGCUCUUACGGGUGGCGAGUGGCGGACGGGUGAGGAAUACAUCGGAAUCUACUUUUUCGUGGGGGAUAACGUAGGGAAACUUACGCUAAUACCGCAUACGACCUACGGGUGAAAGCAGGGGAUCUUCGGACCUUGCGCGAUUGAAUGAGCCGAUGUCGGAUUAGCUAGUUGGCGGGGUAAAGGCCCACCAAGGCGGCGAUCCGUAGCUGGUCUGAGAGGAUGAUCAGCCACACUGGAAAUGAGACACGGUCCAGACUCCUACGGGAGGCAGCAGUGGGGAAUAUUGGACAAUGGGCGCAAGCCUGAUCCAGCCAUACCGCGUGGGUGAAGAAGGCCUUCGGGUUGUAAAGCCCUUUUGUUGGGAAAGAAAAGCAGCAGGUUAAUACCCCGCUGUUCUGACGGUACCCAAAGAAUAAGCACCGGCUAACUUCGU